rnacentral:misc_RNA from 1 species
GAUGAAGAACGUAGCGAAAUGCGAUACGUAAUGUGAAUUGCAGAAUUCAGUGAAUCAUCGAGUCUUUGAACGCACAUUGCGCCCUCUGGUAUUCCGGAGGGCAUGCCUGUCCGAGCGUCAUUGCUGCCCUCAAGCACGGCUUGUGUGUUGGGCCCCGUCCUCCUUCCGGGGGACGGGUCCGAAAGGCAGCGGCGGCACCGCGUCCGGUCCUCAAGCGUAUGGGGCUUUGUCACUCGCUUUGUAGGCCUGGCCGGCGCUUGCCGAUCAACCAAACUUUUUAGCAGGUUGACCUCGGAUCAGGUAGGGAUACCCGCUGAACUUAAGCAUAUCAAUAAGCGGAGGA